rnacentral:rRNA from 1 species
GUGAGGAAUAUUGGUCAAUGGGCGGGAGCCUGAACCAGCCAAGUCGCGUGAAGGAAGAAGGAUCUAUGGUUCGUAAACUUCUUUUGCAGGGGAAUAAAGUGCAGGACGUGUCCUGUUUUGUAUGUACCCUGAGAAUAAGGAUCGGCUAACUACGUGCCAGCAGCCGCGGUAAUACGGAGGAUCCGAGCGUUAUCCGGAUUUAUUGGGUUUAAAGGGUGAGGAGGUGGUUUGAUAAGUCAGCGGUGAAAGUUUGCAGCUUAACUGUAAAAAUGCCGUUGAAACUGUCGGACUUGAGUGUAAAUGAGGUAGGCGGAAUGCGUGGUGUAGCGGUGAAAUGCAUAGAUAUCACGCAGAACUCCGAUUGCGAAGGCAGCUUACUAAGCUACAACUGACACUGAAGCACGAAAGCGUGGGGAUCAAACAGGAUUAGAAACCCCUGUAGUCC